CAGGAACAAGCAAUUGUCACUAUAUAGAUCACAUUAAGAGACAGAACCCUUGAGUCUUUCAUCAAAUCAACAAAGAAGAUAAUUGCUGAUUUCUGUCUACCAUAAAACCCUUUUGAAGCUAAAUCCAGUCGUGAUACGGAUCCGACAGCAACUUUCUACCAGCCCUGAGGAAUGAUUCAAGGCCAAUGCAUCAAAUCGAAUUCAAAAUCGCUAAGGGUGUUAUCAAAAUUUGGGGAUUUUUUGGGCGAAAUCGGAUUCCAAUGCCAUCUUCUGUAAGACUAGGGUUUCAUCUAUGGCUACCUUUCUUCGCACACAAUCUUAUACUCGCUUUCGACCAAUCUCCAUAGAUGGGUUUGGAACACGUUGAAUGAGAGAAACUCAAUAACGAACGGAAAAAAAAAAA